GCCGGUAGUUUUGUCCUCAACAGAGACAUUGAGGAUACCAUUGGCAUCAAUGUCAAAGUAUAUCUUUACUCUUUAACAAGUGGGAAGAUUUAUACUGUAGCUUAUGAAUAGUACUCUCAUGUGCCAAUUCCCACGUGUGAUUACCAAUUUCAAUUCUUUUUUAUUUUUCUUUAUUUUUUUUUGUCUCCAACUUUCUCAUGUUUCCAUUUCUCUCUCCUCUCUCCCCUAUUGAUCUUCCAUUACAGAUCUGAUUGAAGAGUUUCUGAAAUUUCUCUCUCCUGGUUUAUCUCUUUCAUCUUCUCUAUUCCUCACUUCGCUUCUCAAACGGGUAAAAUCCUUCCUAUCUGAUUGUUGCAUUUUUUUCGAUGUUGUUUGCAAUUUAGCAACAAUUAAUUGUUUCUUAAUUAAUGAUGUUGAGUUUGAAAUUUUCGACUAUAUGAGCCCUUCUAAUCUAAUACAUCACUGGAUUACUGGAAUAGAUCGAAUUAAGUAAUUAACACAAAAUAUUUUAAUUGCUUUAAAUUUAUCUUCGACCUUGUUUGGAAUUUAGCAACAAUUAAUUGUUGCUUAAUUAAAGAUGUUGAGUUUGAAUUUUUUGAUUAUGCAAGCCCUUCUUAUACAUCACUCCUAGAUGAGAAUUAGAUUACUGGAAUAGAAUUAACACAUUUUUUUUAUUGCUUUAAAUUUACUUGAAGGUUAUGUAUAAACUUGCAUGUCAAGUGCGAAACGAAAGAAUUACGCUGAAAAAUUACACCUUCAGCUCUUUUCUCCUCUUCUUCAAUUUCUUCCAUUCAUGAGAAUUUUUUGUUUCAAACCCCAAAAAUAGAGGAUGAGAAUUAUGAAAACAGAGAGAGGGGUGAAUCGUCUCAAUCCCAACUUAUUUUAUGUGGAAUUUGUUAGAUUACAAGGAAAGUUCAGAUAUUUUCAAAGGUUUGACUAAUUUUAAUCAUUUAUUUUGCACUGAUUGCAUAAUAAAAAGUGUCGCGUUGAAGAUUAGGGAAAACUGUGAUAUGGUAAAAUGCCCUGAUCCCAAGUGCAAGCUAGCUAUAGAACCAGAAAAUUGCAGCUUAAUUUUACCUAAAGAGGUGUUUGUGAGGUGGAAAAAUGCUCUUUUUGAACAAUUAUUCAUGGGGGGCAGAAAUUUACUGUCCGUAUACAAAUUGCUCUGUUUUAAUGGUGGGUGAUGGUGGGGUGGAGGUCAGAGAAUCGGAGUGUCUGAGUUGUAGGAGGUUGUUUUGCCCAAGGUGCAAAAUUCCGUGGCACGACGGCAUAACCUGCGAGGAGUUUGAUGUGUUGGGAAAGAUGAGAGAGAGAAGGAGGAUAUGAUGGCGAUGAAUCUUGCUAAAGGUAAACAAUGAAGGAGGUGCCCUAAUUGUAGGAUUUACGUGGAGAAGGCUGAUGGUUGUCUUCAUAUAACUUGCAGCAUAUUACUGAGCUGGAUGAGAAAUGAGGUUCAACAUUGGAGCUGAUAACAAGUUUUAACAUUCCUCCUUGCUGUGUUAGUACCAAAUGCAUUGUGUUUACAGGUUCAUAGUUCUGUAUGGUUACGAACAGAUUACUGCUGUUAAACUUGAAACAAUCCCGAUGUUACAAUUUUCUCCGGUGAUUAAUUUGAUAGUUAUGCGAAUUAAUCUUAUGCUUAAA